AUUGAACGCUGGCGGCAGGCCUAACACAUGCAAGUCGAACGAAGUGGCGAACGGGUGAGUAAUACGUGGGUAACCUGCCCUCCUUUUUGGGGUAAGCCUUGGAAACGGGGUCUAAUACCGACUAAAGGGGGAUGGGCUCGCGGCCUAUCAGCUUGUUGGUGGGGGGAUGGCCUACCAAGGCGGUGACGGGUAGCCGGCCUGAGAGGGUGAACGGCCACAUUGGGACGGGGAUACGGCCCAGAGUACGACGGGGGGGAGCAGUGGGGGAUAUUGCACAAUGGGCGAAAGACUGAUGCAGCGACGCCGCGGGGGGGAUGAAGGUUUUCGGGUUGUAAACCUAUUGCGCGAUCGAAAGGGUAGGUGGAGAAGAAGCGCCGGCUAACUACGUGCCAGCAGCCGCGGUAAUAC
rnacentral:rRNA from 1 species